GUGGGGAAUAUUGCACAAUGGGCGCAAGCCUGAUGCAGCAACGCCGCGUGAGGGAUGACGGCCUUCGGGUUGUAAACCUCUUUUAGUAGGGAAGAAGCGAAAGUGACGGUACCUGCAGAAAAAGCACCGGCUAACUACGUGCCAGCAGCCGCGGUAAUACGUAGGGUGCAAGCGUUGUCCGGAAUUAUUGGGCGUAAAGAGCUCGUAGGCGGCUUGUCGCGUCUGCUGUGAAAACCCGAGGCUCAACCUCGGGCCUGCAGUGGGUACGGGCAGGCUAGAGUGCGGUAGGGGAGAUUGGAAUUCCUGGUGUAGCGGUGGAAUGCGCAGAUAUCAGGAGGAACACCGAUGGCGAAGGCAGAUCUCUGGGCCGUAACUGACGCUGAGGAGCGAAAGCAUGGGGAGCGAACAGGAUUAGAAACCCUAGUAGUCC
rnacentral:rRNA from 1 species